ACUUCUCCUCAAUGGUGUUUCCUUCCCGCCUUUCCCACUUCUCACCAGCGUUACCUUCCCGCCAUUCCUACUUCUCCUCAACGACGUUACCUUCCCUCUGUUCCCACUUCUCACUGGCGUUACCUUCAUGCUGUUCCUACUUCUCCUCAUGCCAUUACCUUCCUGCCAUUCCCACUUCUCCUCACGCAUUACCUUCCUGCUGUUCCCAAUUCUCUCUGGCGUUACCUUCCUGCUGUUCUGCCGUUCACGCGUGUUUAUAUGUGUUUGCAUGUGUUUACAUGUGUUUGCAUGUGCCUGUGUCUGCAUAUGCGCAUUUCCCUGAAUCGACGGAGGGUGGCUUAUGUUCACCAGCUCAAUUAGACCUUGUUGCAAGGACAGAGGGCAUUCCGUAUCCAGGAUUCUUGCCUUGGUGCACCGGAAGAAUCGAAUCAAACCUGGGCUUGGAGAAUGACUGCAAUGUUUUAUUGCGUGGAGUUUUCCAGCUCUGGCUGUGACAAUGUGGAUUACUGGUGCCAUUGUUAAUUUUAGGUCCAUUUGACUGGGCUAAGGGAUGCCCAAGUAGCUGGUAAAAGAUUGUUUCUGGGUGUGUUUCUGGAAGAGAUCAGUGUUUGAAUCCAUAGACCGAGUCAAGAGGGUCUGCCCUCCCCAGUGUGGGCAUCAUGCAAUCUGCCAAGGACCUGCAUAGAACACAGACAUGGAGGACAGGAAAACUCUCUCUGCUGGAGGUGGAACAUCUCUCUUCUCCUGCCUUCAAACACUGGCCUCGGUGAUUCUUGGGCCUUCAAACUUGAACUGAAUUACACCGUGACCAGCUCUCCCUGUUCUCCAGCCUGCAGAUGGCAGACCAUGGGACUUCUCUGCCUUAAUAAUUAUGUGUGCCAAUUCCUAUAAUAGAUUUUCUCUCUCUCCAUCAAUAAUCAAUCAUGUAUCCAUCCAUCCAUCCAUCCUUCCCUGUCUCUCUAUCUUUCUAUCUAUCAUCUAUCUAUGUUAUGUUUAUCUAGAGAACCCUGACUAAUAAAAUUGGUUUUGAAUUUCAUUCUUUAAAGCAGUUAAAUUAAAAUGAAACAGAAAA
ensembl:lncRNA LINC01168 long intergenic non-protein coding RNA 1168